AUUUAAAUAGUUUAAAAAAAAUUCUGAUUUGUGGUAUCAGAGAUAUACAGAUGUAUUUUAAAUC
rnacentral:tRNA from 1 species